rnacentral:rRNA from 1 species
AGCGCAGGCGGUUGGAAUAGUCUGAUGUGAAAGCCCACGGCUUAACCGUGGAAGGUCAUUGGAAACUGUCCAACUUGAAUACAGAAGAGGUAAGCGGAAUUCCAAGUGUAGCGGUGAAAUGCGUAGAUAUUUGGAGGAACACCAGUGGCGAAGGCGACUUACUGGUCUGUAAUUGACGCUGAGGCUCGAAAGCGUGGGUAGCAAACAG